AAAAAUAUUGUUACCUGUAAAAUAAUAUGACCAUUAACCACACAACCAGCAACUAGGAAACACUCCAAAAACCACCAGUAUCAGACUGAUGGACACAGUGACAGACCCAAAACAUGGCCACUCCUCAUCGUCUAUAACUCUGCAGCUGGGUGAAGUUCUUUUUUCAGAGAACGAGUAUAGAGUGUAACUUCCUUUUCAACUGACAUACCGGAAGUCUUUUCUAGAACCGCAGCCCUCAUCAAAUGUUGUCUCUCUCUCUUCUCUGUGUGUUUUGGUGAGUCUAGCUAUCUACCAGUCAGAGAUAGAUGAGGAGGACGUACAGCCAAAGGAAACAGACACAACUCCUAACAGAGAUGUCUGGUGGUCCCCUCUCGUGCUUCUCCAAACAGGGAAUACUCCUACUCUCUAUCCUCCACUAUGGGAUCUGGGCUGAAGUCCCUCCGAAGGACCUGUAUGGAUUGAGGGGGGGUUCGGUGUGCCUGGCUGUAGCAGAACCACCGCAGGAGCUUAGAAGACAACGUUGGAAGGUCAAUAGUACCAUAAUAGUUUCUGACAGAAAGGUCUCUCCUAAAUACCAGGAGAAAGUGGAGUAUAAUCCACUGAACCACUCUCUGUGCAUUAAGAAUCUGAGUGAAAAAGACAGAGGAACUUACAUUGCAACCUAUGAGAAAAAUUGGGAAGAGUUGACUACUACAUACAGACUAACAGUACAGGAGCCUAUAUCCACGGUGGUGAUCCAGGAGGAGAUCACGCUAUUGGCCAACCAGUCCUGUUCAGUGUGGCUGCUGUGCAACGUGUCAGUCGGCUCCAACCUCUCCUACACCUGGGAGAGAGGGAAUGAAACAUACAGGGACGACAAGCAGAUGCACUUCUCUCUGUCACCAGCAGACGGAGACAUCAGUGUAACCUGCACUGCCUCCAACUCAGUCAGUGAGAAAUCUGCCUCGGUAACAGUAAAGUGUAGUAAUGACACAACCAUCCCAGGGCUGGUGUGGUGUAUCAUCUGCAUUUUAGUGGUGUUGACCCUCAUUGUAGCGGUGGCAGUGUAUUGCUGCAGGGGCCACUCUAACACGGUAUAUCAAAAUGACAAGACAAUAUAUGCGGAUGUUAGGGCAGUACAAUAAAUAAAGAUACAAGAGGGACAGUGGAUGAUCUGGCUGAACCAAGACUGAACAAGCCGCAGACUCUGUACGACGAGAUCAAAGUUGGACGCCCAAAAGCGCCCUCUUCUGCCUACCAGGAAGUACUUGUGAGCUGAGCAGGAUGUGUUCAUAGGAUGGGCCUUAUAUCUCUGCAUCAUCUGCAUCCAAGGCUACAGUCUGUAGAUGGAUGUUACUGUUAACUUUUAUCACGACUUGCACAUUUCUGACAUUUGCUGCUUAUUUUUUUCAUGAUUGCAAUCUUCUCCCUUUAUUGUUCCUCAUAGACAGUGGGGCAAAAAAGUAUUUAGUCAGUCACAAAUUGUGCAAGUUCUCCCACUUAAAAAGAUGAGAGAGGCCUGUAAUUUUCAUCAUAGGUACACUUCAACUAUGACAGACAAAAUGAGAAAAAAAAUCCAGAAAAUCACAUUGUAGGAUUUUUUAUGAAUUUAUUUGCAUUAAACAAAACUAUAAACACACAUACAUUACAACAAAAACAUUGUACAUUAAAAACACAAAUGUCUUAACUAAAAACAACUGGCCUAAAAACAAUUACACUCUUCUAUGAUAUAUACAUCGAUCAAGUGUUUAAACUCCACCAACAAAACUUGAUCAUCACAUUUUAAAAUGUUCAUGACAGAAUUCCAGGACCACAGAGCUAAGUAACUAAAACUAUUUACAGCGUGUCCUGUUGUAAUUUUUGGUACUAUUAGAAGCAAAUCAGAAUGGGACCGUAAUUGAUAUUUAUUUACUGACCUGACUAAAAAAAGAACAGAGAUAAAAUUGAAUAAUUAUAGAGACACAUUUUAUUCAUAAUAAAUGUAUACAUAACAUUGCAUUUCUGAUUUACUGAACAAUAAUUGUUGUCUGAUAAAAAUAAAUGCUGUUUAAAACUUUAAAUAAU